rnacentral:rRNA from 1 species
UGGGGAAUUUUGGACAAUGGGCGAAAGCCUGAUCCAGCAAUGCCGCGUGUGUGAAGAAGGCCUUCGGGUUGUAAAGCACUUUUGUCCGGAAAGAAAUCCUUGGCUCUAAUACAGUCGGGGGAUGACGGUACCGGAAGAAUAAGCACCGGCUAACUACGUGCCAGCAGCCGCGGUAAUACGUAGGGUGCAAGCGUUAAUCGGAAUUACUGGGCGUAAAGCGUGCGCAGGCGGUUUGCUAAGACCGAUGUGAAAUCCCCGGGCUCAACCUGGGAACUGCAUUGGUGACUGGCAGGCUAGAGUAUGGCAGAGGGGGGUAGAAUUCCACGUGUAGCAGUGAAAUGCGUAGAGAUGUGGAGGAAUACCGAUGGCGAAGGCAGCCCCCUGGGCCAAUACUGACGCUCAUGCACGAAAAGCGUGGGGGAGCAAAACAGGAUUAGAUACCCUGGUAGUCCACGCCCUAAAACGAUGUCAACUAGUUGUUGGGGAUUCAUUUCCUUAGUAACGUAGCUAACGCGUGAAGUUGACCGCCUGGGGAGUACGGUCGCAAGAUUAAAACUUAAAUGAAUUGACGGGGUCAUAGCUGUUUCCU